UUCCCCUAGUAACGGCGAGUGAAGCGGGAACAGCUCAAAUUUGAAAUCUGGCCCUCGGGUCCGAGUUGUAAUUUGUAGAGGAUGCUUUUGGUGCGGUGCCUUCCGAGUUCCCUGGAACGGGACGCCUUAGAGGGUGAGAGCCCCGUACGGUUGGACGCCUAGCCUCUGUAAAGCUCCUUCGACGAGUCGAGUAGUUUGGGAAUGCUGCUCUAAAUGGGAGGUAUAUUUCUUCUAAAGCUAAAUACUGGCCAGAGACCGAUAGCGCACAAGUAGAGUGAUCGAAAGAUGAAAAGCACUUUGAAAAGAGGGUUAAAUAGCACGUGAAAUUGUUGAAAGGGAAGCGUUUAUCACCAGACUUUUUCUAGGGGGAUCAUCCGGUGUUCUCACCGGUGCACUUCCCCUAGUUGAGGCCAGCAUCGGUUUUCGGAGGGGGAUAAAAGUUUCGGGAAUGUGACUCCCCCGGGAGUGUUAUAGCCCGUUACAUAAUACCCUUCUGGGGACCGAGGUUCGCGCAUCUGCAAGGAUGCUGGCAUAAUGGUGAUCAACNACCCG
rnacentral:rRNA from 1 species